rnacentral:rRNA from 1 species
GAUGAACGCUGGCGGCGUGCCUAAUACAUGCAAGUCGAGCGAACGGACGAGAAGCUUGCUUUUCUGAUGUUAGCGGCGGACGGGUGAGUAACACGUGGAUACCCUACCUAUCAGACUGGGAUAACUUCGGGAAACCGGAGCUAAUACCGGAGAAUCUUUUGAACCGCAUGGUUCAAAAGUGAAAGACGGUCUUGGUGUCACUUAUAGCUGGAUCCGCGCUGCAUUAGCUAGUUGGUAAGGUAACGGCUUACCAAGGCAACGAUGCAUAGCCGACCUGAGAGGGGGAUCGGCCACCCUGGAACGUAGACACGGUCCAGAGUCCUACGAGAGGCAGCAGAAGGGAAUCUUCCGCAAUGGUCGAAAGCCUGACGGAGCAACGCCGCGUGAGUGAUGACGGUCUUCGGAUCGUAAAACUCUGUUACUAGGGAAAAACAUAUGUGUAAGUAACUGUGCACAUCUUGACGGUACCUAGUCAGAAAGCCACGGCUAACUACGUG